rnacentral:lncRNA from 1 species
AAUUAGAACCAGAUGCUCCGCAGGGCGUAGCUUUAUACGACCGCAGAGGUUGAACCCUGAACGAUCGGGGCAAGUAUGGACACAACAUUCAAGCUGGAUUCAGCUCUAAAUUUGGAUUGUGAUUAAAUAGUUGACACAGCAUAGGUUUCUGACACAGAAUGAAUGUGUUCUAAUGAACUUAAAAUUUUUGUUUUCUCUUAGAGCAAUUCACUAUGCUGUUGAAUAUUAAUCCUCUCAAAAAAAUGUUUGAAGAAAUUUUCUUUUUUAUUUAUGAAAUUUCAAAUGAGAAAAAUUGAACCCAAUUUUUUUAAUCACAUCCCCCUUUCCCUUAUUCCAAAACUAAUCUCAAUUAAAAUUUCUAAUGGAGUUUGCAACAAUAACUGCUCAUUUAAAUACAUCAUAAAAUAUUAAGAUGUAAAAAAACUGCUUGUUAUCACUGAAUGGUAAAGAUUAUUUUAAUUUAUC